CCUACGGGUGGCUGCAGUGAGGAAUAUUGGUCAAUGGGCGUAAGCCUGAACCAGCCAAGUCGCGUGAGGGAUGAAGGUUCUAUGGAUCGUAAACCUCUUUUAUAAGGGAAUAAAGUGCGGGACGUGUCCCGUUUUGUAUGUACCUUAUGAAUAAGGAUCGGCUAACUCCGUGCCAGCAGCCGCGGUAAUACGGAGGAUCCGAGCGUUAUCCGGAUUUAUUGGGUUUAAAGGGUGCGUAGGCUGUGAGGUAAGUCAGCGGUGAAAUGCCCCCGGUCAACGGGGUGAAGUGCCAUUGAUACUGCCUGGCUGGAAUGCGGAUGCCGUGGGAGGAAUGGGUGGUGUAGCGGUGAAAUGCGUAGAUAUCACACAGAACACCGAUUGCGAAGGCAGCUUACUAAACUGUGACUGACAUUGAUGCUCGAAAGUGUGGGUAUCAAACAGGAUUAGAUACCCCAGUAGUC
rnacentral:rRNA from 1 species